UAAUAUCCGUUUAACGAAGCCAUGGAGUCUGAUGAUCGUUAGCGUGCCAGCUAAGGCUGAAAGGCUGCUAAAGUAUAAGCUUCAGUUUGCGGCACAGACCCAGACAAAAAAGUUAUGGUUAGUCGGCUUGUCUCCGAUUGACCAAGGAUCAGUUGAUCCGAAAUGAAGUGGAGAUAUGAUCAUGCUCCGCCUCAACCACCAUGCUUCAAACUUGAUGAGAUGCUAUGCAAAAUAGCAACCCAUGCCCCAAAACAACAAGUCUA
rnacentral:lncRNA from 1 species